AAUAAUAAAAGCUAAUCAAAAGAAAUUAAAAAAUCUAAAUUCUUAUCCCUCCCCUCGCUCACCCCCUCUCUCUUUGACUCACCCGCUCUGUCCCUCUCACUCUCACCCACGAAGCUCGUUCCCCUCUCACUCACCCACAAGCUCGCUGUCAAUAUUUUGCUCAGAUCUCAGCUAACGCAUCAUCAAAACUGCAACCAUGAUGCUAGGCUGAGGAGGAUCCAAUGUCGUGGGUCAGUUUCUUCUCUGAUCUUGCCCUUUUUUGUUCAAUCUAUUUAUGCCCUGGAUUGAUUUAUUCUCUUUGUUUUGCUGUGUUUCUUGUUCUGGAAAAAUCUAUUUGUCUAAUUCACAUACGGGUCGCAGCCGUUGCUUUUAUUAUUUUAUAAUUUUUUUUUUGGGUGGUUUUGUGUAGUCUUAUGAACAUUCUUUUUGGCAUAAAUGCAUCUGGGUUGCUACGUGCCUACGUUUGAUUGUUAAUUAGACCUGAUCCGUAAUUCUAUGCGUUUUUUGAAUUUUUGAUUGCGAAAUUAAGUUAAUUUAGUUUAAUAUUAUUGGAUUAUUGUCACCUAAAAUUGGUAUAUUCAAUCAGUUAAAGAAAUUCUUUUGACACGGACUUUAUGAAACCUUGUAUGUGAUACUUUGCUUAGCAAAGUAUUUGGAUUUUGGAUUUUUUUCUAUUUAUAUUUUAAAAUUACUAGAAAUAAAUUAUUUGAAGUGUGAUACUUUGUGAAAUGUUAAAGCUUACGGUUUGGUUGUAAUUCUGUUUUUGCUUAUAUAUGUUUAUGUCUGUUGGCGUUUUUUUUUUUUUUUUUUUGGUAAGUUUGCAUAUAUGGUGUGUAUUAAGAUUUUCAAGUUGUUCUUCAAACAUAUUCUGGGUAGUUUGAUAUAUCACAUGUUUCUGUGAAUUCUUUAGUUGAGGCAAUUGUUUUUGGUCUUAGCUGCAUUAUUAAGUUCUUUACCACAUAGAAUUCCCUAAUUUUCUUCUGCUAAUCCAGUAAUUGCAGCUUCAUUCUAAGGUUCUUCAUUUUCUAUAAAGCAUAUAUUGCUUCAUUAACCCUCCUCUAAAUAUGUUGCUAAUAUGUAUUCGAUUCAUUCCAAUCUUACAGAUCAUUGUUGGAUGCCGAAUCAGCAUACAAUGCUUACAAUUGUGAGAGAAAAAUGAACAACCAAUUGCCCAGUUCAGUUACGCUUUAAGCUAGGAAGAUUGACGUAGAAACAUUUGUUUAAGUGUAAUUACCUACGUAGGUGAAAAAGGUCCAAAAUCGUCAAGCACACUGUCAACUAAGGCUGGUCGGCGACGUGAACGGCGUGAUAGCGAUGUCGGUGAUGGGCUGGUCGGCGAUGGGCGUGGCGUGACAACAAGUUUCGUGGGUGAGUGACAGCCUGAGAGAAAUAGCUCGCAAGUGGGUGAGUGAGAGAGGCAGAUCGGGUGAGUGAGAGAGACAGAGCUGGUGAGUGAGAGGGAAGGUGAAUGAGAGAGACAGAGCAAGCGAGUGAGAGGGACGGGUAAGAAUUUUGGAUUUUUCAAAUUCUUUAGAUUUAAUUUUAAUAUUUUUCAAUGGUAAAAUCUAUUUUUAAUUUUCAAAUUUAAAACUUCGAAACGGCAGAGGAAGCAUGCGUUUCUGGCUUCGUUAUGGUCUCGUGGUGGCCGAAUAUCAUUGCCCAAUAAAUCAUGAUUCUUCGAGAGACCCAGCAACCACUUGUGAAAACACAAUGGUUAUUCCUAAAGCCAAGCAACUCUCAGCACGAAAAAGUGUCAAGUGGCCAACAACUCCUAACAACCCUUAGACUAAGUCCAGCACUUACCAUACUAUGUCCUAUAUAAUUGAAACGUAAAUAGAUUAUUGACAGCAAAACAAAACAAUAACUUAAUAUAAUGACAUGUAACAAUGUACAUUUUUUAUUUUUUAUUUUUUAUUUUUGUCAAUUAUGCGUUAGUGUUUGAUGCCCUUCUUUCAAAAAUAAAUAAAAAUUGACGCACAUGUACCGCAAUGUCAGUUGUGAGGGAGCUGUGACGAGUAAUGAUUAAAAUAUACAAGUGAUGAAAUUUUGAAUUGCGAUAUAAAUGCAUAAAUGACAU
rnacentral:lncRNA from 1 species